GUGCACCAGGCGCGAAAACUUUACAAUGUGCGAAAGCACGAUAAGGGAACUCUGAGUGCCUCCUAAGGAGGCUGUUCAGGUGUCUAAAAGCACCUGAAGGAAGGGCUGGGUAAGACCGGUGCCAGCCGCCGCGGUAACACCGGCAGCCCAAGUGGUAGCCACGUUUAUUGGGUCUAAAGCGUCUGUAGCCGGCUGGGUAAGUUCCUUGGGAAAUUUGGCUGCUUAACAGUCAAGCUUUCAGGGAAUACUGCCCGGCUUGGGACCGGGAGAGGUCAGAGGUACUCCAGGGGUA
rnacentral:rRNA from 1 species